rnacentral:lncRNA from 1 species
ACUGCUGUGUUCCCAUUCGCUCUGUCCCCGACAGGAUUGGAAGCAGGGGGCCCGCGGCCGUUGCCUUGGCCCUUCUGGCUUCUAGGAAGCCAUUCUUGGAAGAGGAAGCACUUCUUUUUAUCCAGAUGGAAAAGGGAGGCCAGGAAAGCUUUUGCCACUGACGAAGCCCGGGCACCAUGAAUGCAAGCGACUUCCGCCGGCGGGGGAAGGAGAUGGUGGAUUACGUGGCUGACUACCUGGAGGGCAUCGAGGGUCGCCAGGUGUACCCCGACGUGCAGCCCGGCUACCUGCGCCCCCUGAUCCCCGCCACCGCCCCCCAGGAGCCAGACACGUUUGAGGACAUCCUUCAGGACGUUGAGAAGAUAAUCAUGCCGGGGGUGACCCACUGGCACAGCCCCUACUUCUUCGCCUACUUCCCCACGGCCAGCUCGUACCCGGCCAUGCUCGCCGACAUGCUGUGUGGGGCCAUUGGCUGCAUCGGCUUCUCCUGGGCUGCCAGCCCAGCAUGCACGGAGCUGGAGACAGUGAUGAUGGACUGGCUGGGGAAGAUGCUGCAGCUGCCCGAGGCGUUUCUGGCUGGAGAGGCCGGAGAAGGCGGCGGGGUGAUCCAGGGAAGUGCCAGUGAAGCUACCUUGGUGGCUCUGCUGGCCGCUCGGACCAAAGUGACGCGACGCCUGCAGGCCGCCUCCCCGGGGCUGACCCAAGCGGCCGUCUUGGAGAAGCUGGUGGCCUAUGCAUCCGACCAGUCUCACUCUUCAGUAUUUUGGCAUUCUGGCUUGAUCAAUUCCAUUAGAAUUAAAGCAAUACCUUACGAUGGGCAGGUCCUAGUCCAGUCUAGCCAGUUGCUCGAGGUCUUAGAGCGACGCAAGGCUUCCAUGCUUCUUCCUCUCCAGGUGGUGGCUACGCUGGGGACCACAUCGUGCUGCUCCUUUGACAAUCUCUUAGAAGUGGGACCCAUCUGUCAUGAAGAGGACAUAUGGCUGCACGUGGAUGCUGCCUACGCAGGCAGUGCCUUCAUCUGCCCUGAGUUCCGGCACCUGCUGAAUGGAGUGGAGUUUGCAGAUUCAUUUAACUUUAAUCCCCACAAAUGGCUCUUGGUGAAUUUUGACUGCUCGGCUAUGUGGGUGAAAAGGAGAACGGACCUGACUGGAGCCUUCAAAUUGGACCCCGUGUACUUAAAGCACAGCCACCAGGACUCGGGGCUUAUCACGGACUACAGGCACUGGCAGCUGCCACUGGGUCGGCGAUUCCGGUCCCUGAAAAUGUGGUUUGUUUUCAGGAUGUACGGAGUCAAGGGACUGCAGGCCUAUAUCCGCAAGCACGUGCAGCUGUCUCAUGAGUUUGAGGCAUUUGUGCUUCAGGAUCCCCGCUUUGAAGUCUGUGCCGAAGUCACCCUGGGGCUGGUGUGUUUCCGGCUGAAGGGCUCCGACGGACUGAAUGAAGCGCUUCUGGAAAGGAUAAACAGCGCCAGGAAAAUCCACUUGGUUCCCUGUCGCCUGAGGGGUCAGUUCGUGCUGCGGUUUGCCAUCUGCUCGCGCACGGUGGAGUCGGGCCACGUGCGGCUGGCCUGGGAGCACAUCCGAGGGCUGGCGGCCGAGCUGCUGGCCGCGGAGGAGGGAAAGGCAGAGAUCAAAAGUUGAAGUGCCCUGAAGAGCAGAAUCGGAGGAGACGCGUCGUCCCCGCUCCGAGGCGUAGAGCCUGCAUGUGGUCCCCCCACUUCUUUAGCCCACGUUCUCCAGAAAGAAGCUUGUGCCUACGUCUGACCAGCCUCUCAGCAAUGAAGAAGUAUUAUCUGCUCUUUGAAAAGUUAAUCCCAGUGGAGACAGCUUUUACUCUUUAUUUGGCUGUGAUUGUUUGUUGAUUAAAACAUCAUAGGUUUCUGCAUCCUUGAAGUUGUCAGCGGUGGUCCACUUUCCGGGGCAACCUAUGCUGAUGGGAUUUGAGAUGAUACCCGUGGUCUUUAAAUUACUCUGUCCUGUGGCUUAGUGCUUAAUAAAUGAUGUGAAG